AUUGAACGCUGGCGGAAUGCUUUACACAUGCAAGUCGAGCGGCAGCGCGGCCUUCGGGCUGGCGGCGAGCGGCGAACGGGUGAGUAAUGCAUCGGAACAUGCCCAGUCGUGGGGGAUAACACUUCGAAAGAAGUGCUAAUACCGCAUACGUCCUGAGGGGGAAAGCGGGGGAUCGCAAGACCUCGCGCGAUUGGAGUGGCCGAUGUCAGAUUAGCUAGUUGGUGGGGUAAAGGCCUACCAAGGCGACGAUCUGUAGCUGGUCUGAGAGGAUGAUCAGCCACACUGGGACUGAGACACGGCCCAGAAUCCUACGGGAGGCAGCAGUGGGGAAUUUUGGACAAUGGGGGCAACCCUGAUCCAGCCAUUCCGCGUGAGUGAAGAAGGCCUUCGGGUUGUAAAGCUCUUUCGGCAGGAACGAAACGGUGGGCUCUAACAUAGUCCGCUAAUGACGGUACCUGAAGAAGAAGCACCGGCUAACUACGUG
rnacentral:rRNA from 1 species